AUUCUUGGGCAGUGGGUCUGGGGAGCACCAGUGGAGAGCACAUCCCAGUGCCUGGACAGAAGGCAAGUUUCUGAUUAUAAGUGCCUUCCUACACUGCUUUGCAAGGACUUCGUUAUCUUUCCAAAGGUGGAUGUUGAUACGUGCCUUCAGUGAGGGUAUCAAACCUGAAGGGAGUAUUUAAUUUAAAUUAUGCUUAUUACUUGUGAUUGUUUCUGUAGUUUCUGAAUACUGGGAAGGAGAAUUAUUCUGUCUUUGCUACUUGUUGAACUGCUGGGGUAACUUUAAAAAGAACAGUAGAAUGUAGAUUAUAAAAAGCUGUUUUGUUAAUCUGCUCUUUUGCUGGGGGUUACACUGUUUAGUAUCAGCUUUCGAUUCAUGUUUAGAUCUUUAAUCAGAUUUUCUUCUUGUAAUUUUGUACAUUAUUGAGUAGAGCUGUUAAAGUGACUGACAGAUGUUUAGAUAUAAAACAGUGUAUCUCCUUAAUAUUGCUUGUACAAAGGCUUGUAUUUUAUUAAGGAGCACAUCUUAAGUUUAAUAUAGUGUUCACUAAGUAUAGCUUUCAGUGAGAUGGCAUUGCUUCCAAAGGGAGAAGAAAAUCAAUACUUUCACUGCAGUAUUUUAUCCUGAAUGGGAAUAUGAAAAGCAGAUGUAAUAUAAAUGUUCAUUUUCUUGAGUGUGUAUUUCAUGCGCACUUUGGAAAGGGAGUUUAAGAAAGCUUGACUGUUCUGCAUGGGUAAAAAUCCAAAGAUAUUUUAGAUCUGCGUUCUAUUUCUAAUUCAUCAUAUUUCUAACUUACAAAUUCACAGCUGUAAAAUCUGAGGUAAACCCAUGUGUGCAUGGCUUUAUACUACUAAUACUAAUUGUUUUCUCUCAGAAAAGAAAAACCUUACGCUGCAAUACCUUAGUGUGCAAAAUAUAAUCACAGAGUAUAUUGUGUAAUGUACUGUAAGUAAAACAUUUAUACUUCUGAGUGAAAAAAUAAGGAAGACAGACUUCAUCUUUCUGCUUCUGCUUUUCCUGAAUGAUUGUAAACACAUAAUUCUAAAUGUCUUAUUGGGAACAGGAAAUAUUGUAUUAAGAUGGUUACUCAUUGUUAUUAAAAAGUUUAUUAACAAAUGUUAUUGUGACAGGUAUCAUUAUAAACUUAGUGGGAUUUUAUUAUAUAUAAGUUUUCUAUGUGUAAAUAUAGACAUGUAAAUAUUAGUAUCAAAUUCCAUUUGAAUAAACCUAGAAUAUUGGCUUUUGAUAACUUUAAUUACUUUGAAGUAGUCUCAUCAAGAAAGACAACAUUCUGUCGUUCUCUUUAAAUUAAGUGGAAUGACUGUUGAGUUUUUAGGGUGCUUUUUGUUUCCUAUCUUGCUGUUUAUUUCCUUCAUAUUAUUUUAUUUGGCUACAAUGAAAACAUGUGGUUUGUCAGGGAACAACCAAACAAACAUAAAUUAUGCACUGUCCAUCUGUGUUCUCCUGAAUACAGAGAUAUUUACUAAAACACAAAAGUUUUACUGAGAAUACGAUAAACAACCACAUGCAAACAAAAGCAAACUUUUAAUAUACAAAAUAACUCAAUAUAUGUAAAUCUGUUAACUGAUUAUCUCUUUAUUUUCUAAUUGUCUAAGCAUGACCAUCUUAGUUGUGCAUAUUUUUGCAUUAAACUUUGUGAUGAGGGAAAGAACAUAAAGUGAAGAGACAGAACCUGUCUCUGUCAAGUGUUGUUCAGUACAGUUGGGAAAUAAUCUAGAAACUUUUUUUGCUGUAAAAUCUCCACUUAAAAAGUGAGGAGGAAUGCUAAUGAGGGUGAUUGAGAGAAUGAUGCCCAUAGAAAAACUAGAUAUUUUUUCAUUAUCCCUUCAUUAAUGACAAAUGGCUAGUUUGGGAUUAUAGUCAUAAUCAGGUUUUGAGAUUGAAUUCACAAAUUUAAUAGUUCAUUGCUUUACAGGUCUCAAAAUUAAAAUCUAAGUAGCUAUUUACAAAAUUUUAUGGCAUUACUAAUAGGCUGUUCAGUUUUUCUUGUGGGAAAAGAUUCAAAAUAUUUACAUCCAAGACAUAUCUUGAAAUCUAUUUUGUUAAAUCUGUGCCUAAAUCCGAAUUGAUGUCUCUGGUUUGCAGAUCAUUUUCAUGCAAUUUUAUAGAGGGAAAUACAUAUUCUAAAGAAAAAUCUUUUCUUCCCAAUAUCAAAAUCCUAUUUUUGUGCACAAAUUUACAUGCAUCUGCAGUAGAGAUAAUUAAAAACUGUAUUUUCAAAUUCUUGGGAAGAGAAGUAUUGAAAUCACAGAUUUUAAAAAGAACAAACCAGAGACAAUGAAGAACUUCUCAUCUAUUGCAAAUACUGCACAUUCUGUUAUGCUUAAUGGCUUGAUCUAAUGAUCAAAAACAUCAUAACAAAAUUUUCGAAUAAAAAGAUAUGUCAAUACAAAUUUUAUCACAUUGUAUUAAGGAAUAUGAAUAGCACAAAUAAUCCCAAGUGGAGGGUAAAAUAAUAACAAUUUAGAUGCUAUAUUUCAGCAUUAAAAAGAAAUAUUCCAAUCCUAAAUUUAUUAGUAACUCCAGGUUUUAAUGUACUUUUUGGUUUAACACAAAUGUUAAUCACAUUCCAGGGGAGUUGCAGUAUGUCAAUAUUUUCCAGCAGCACAUCUGUGCAGUUUUCUAAUUUGGAUUAAAAUGGUAUUCAUAACACAACAACUCCAUCAGUUGUUCAGAUGUACAGCUUGCUAAUAAAUCCUUUGUUCUCAAUAAUGACUUUUAAUUAAAUGAUUUAGAAACAAAUGUCAGCAUAACUGUGGACAUAUUGAAUAUGCUGUUCUUAUUUGUGAGCCUAGAACACCAGAUCUUAAUUCUAUAAGUUUCAGGGGGAGGAGUGGGUAGGAGGAUAUAAGGUUAUAUCCAUAAGCAGUUGUUCUGUUUUCUUCACAUGAAAGUGCCAACAGUAUAUCUAACAUACUGCAAGACAUUUACUGACUAUCUAAUGGUUAUUCUGAAUGAUGAGCCACAAGGUAUCUUUUUGAAGAUAUGUUUGUUAGGCUUAUGAGGUGCUAUAAAUAUACAUUUUUAAGUUCUUGUUCAGAACAAUUGCAUUUCUGUCUAUAAAAAAUAUUUGUCGCAUGUACUCUGUACAGUUGGACAACUCAGAAUAAAUUUGUUUAAAAUCAGAAAGGUCUUUAUGGAGAACUGUAAACACUGAAUGUAUGUUUAUCUCUAUUGUUAAAUGUUUUUUAUUAUGGAAGUGGGGAAUAAUCUUCCUCCAUAAAAAAAACCCAAAACCACAGUAGCAGUGCACAUACAUUACACACAUACUAAUAGGAUGCGCUAAUGUAGAAUUAAGGUGUUUUUGAUCAUUUUCAAUGCUUCUUCAUUGCUAAUUUAAAAAAAUAUGUCCCUUUAAAAUGUGUCCCAAGAAAAAUAUAUUUGUGCUUACUGACAAGCACAUACCUCUCUAACUCCUCUCUGCUUUUAGACACAUGUUAUGAUGGUGUUUCCAGUUAGAUUUGCUACUGUGGGGUGUUAACAGUUGCAGCACCUUCUCGGCAAAGUUACUUUUUCUGCUUGUGCUUCAUACUUUUUUCCAGGACUCUACUCUGGGAGUCUGAUCGUGCCUUUGUCUGUUCACUCUGGCAAUGUUAAUAGAUUCCUUAUAGUGAAAACUGAAUGUUACCAAUAUGAGCAUUAGUUUGUGUAAAGGUGUGCUUAUGACUGUGUAUCUAAACGUGUGUGCACUGCGUUGGCUAAAGGAUCCAAUGUCCACUAAUAUCAGAAAAAAAAGCAACUGUGUAAUUCUAAAGUAUCUCUCUACAGCAUGUAAAAUGCAAUUGUACUUUCAAUAAUUUUACAUUAUUACACAACUGUAGUAUUUAAAAUGUAAUUAAUAUUGGUGUUUUAUGUAGCUAUUCAAUUAUAAUUUUCCUUUGUAACAUCUCUGAAAAUGUAUUAUGACUGAGGAAAUGUGUGUUCCAACUAGACGAUGGCACCUUGCUGUACCUGAAUCUUCUGUAGGACCUGCAGAAAUUCUGUGCAACUCAUAAUAAAGUUGCUUUUUCUGUUCUGA
rnacentral:lncRNA from 1 species